CCUACGGGAGGUCAGCAGUGGGGAAUAUUGCGCAAUGGGCGAAAGCCUGACGCAGCGACGCCGCGUGAGGGAUGAAGGUCUUCGGAUCGUAAACCUCUGUCAGCAGGGAAGCCCGGUCACUGUGCUAAUCAGCAGUGAAUUGACGGUACCUGCAAAGGAAGCACCGGCUAACUCCGUGCCAGCAGCCGCGGUAAUACGGAGGGUGCGAGCGUUAAUCGGAAUUACUGGGCGUAAAGCGCUCGUAGGCGGUAUGUCAAGUCAAGGGUGAAAUCCCCGCGCUCAACGUGGGAACUGCCUUUGAAACUGGCAGACUGGAGUGUGUGAGAGGAUAGGGGAAGUACAGGUGUAGGAGUGAGAGCCGUAGAUAUCUGGAGGAAGAUCAGUGGCGAAGGCGACUAUCUGGCACAUAACUGACGCUGAGGAGCGAAAGCGUGGGUAGCAAACAGGAUUAGAUACCCCAGUAGUC
rnacentral:rRNA from 1 species